GUCUGCGUGGUUCAAUGGUCAGACUGCUCGGCGUGUAUUCGAGAGGUUCUAGGUUCGAGUCCCGGCGAAGGCA
rnacentral:tRNA from 1 species